GAGUGGAACAAUGGGUCAGUGCAUCUGGCUGAUAACCAGAAGGUUAGUUGUUUGAGUCCACACAGGGACA
rnacentral:tRNA from 1 species